GAUGAACGCUGGCGGCGUGCCUAAUACAUGCAAGUCGAGCGAACGGACGAGAAGCUUGCUUCUCUGAUGUUAGCGGCGGACGGGUGAGUAACACGUGGAUAACCUACCUAUAAGACUGGGAUAACUUCGGGAAACCGUAGCUAAUACCGGAUAAUAUUUUGGACCGCAUGGUUCAAAAGUGAAAGACGGUCUUGCUGUCACUUAUAGCUGGAUCCGCGCUGCAUUAGCUAGUUGGUAAGGUAACGGCUUACCAAGGCAACGAUGCAUAGCCGACCUGAGAGGGUGAUCGGCCACACUGGAACUGAGACACGGUCCAGACUCCUACGGGAGGCAGCAGUAGGGAAUCUUCCGCAAUGGGCGAAAGCCUGACGGAGCAACGCCGCGUGGGUGAUGAAGGUCUUCGGAUCGUAAAACUCUGUUAUUAGGGAAGAACAUAUGUGUAAGUAACUGUGCACAUCUUGACGGUACCUAAUCAGAAAGCCACGGCUAACUACGUG
rnacentral:rRNA from 1 species